AGUGAACGCUGGCGGUAGGCCUAACACAUGCAAGUCGAACGGCAGCACAGUAAGAGCUUGCUCUUACGGGUGGCGAGUGGCGGACGGGUGAGGAAUACAUCGGAAUCUACUUUUUCGUGGGGGAUAACGUAGGGAAACUUACGCUAAUACCGCAUACGACCUACGGGUGAAAGCAGGGGAUCUUCGGACCUUGCGCGAUUGAAUGAGCCGAUGUCGGAUUAGCUAGUUGGCGGGGUAAAGGCCCACCAAGGCGACGAUCCGUAGCUGGUCUGAGAGGAUGAUCAGCCACACUGGAACUGAGCCACCGUCCAGACUCCUACGGGAGGCAGCAGUGGGGAAUAUUGGACAAUGGGCGCAAGCCUGAUCCAGCCAUACCGCGUGGGUGAAGAAGGCCUUCGGGUUGUAAAGCCCUUUUGUUGGGAAAGAAAAGCAGCAGGUUAAUACCCCGCUGUUCUGACGGUACCCAAAGAAUAAGCACCGGCUAACUUCGUG
rnacentral:rRNA from 1 species